rnacentral:lncRNA from 1 species
AUGGUAGAAGAAAUACAGCCAAGGAAUGACUUGAUGGAGACUCUGCCCCAGGGAAAUGGUACCAACCACUGCAGGUCUCUGCAGCCUCUGCCUUGGAAGAGUGCCUGUAACAGGCCCUGGUGGGGGGCUAGGAUGGCAUCCAGCCCCCAUCUCAACAGUGGGCUAAYAUGGAGAGAGGAACUGCUGGGGCCCCCAGCUGCACCACACCUUCCACAGCUGCUGCCCAUGAGGACAAGGCCGGAAAAYGCAGCGAGCAUCCGCUGCCGAGGGUCGGCCAUGAGACGCAAACGCAGAGGCAGCCCUGCCCGGCAGGUUGAGGCGUGCGAUGUCUGGCUGGACACGGCGAAGCUAAAGCAGCGCAGAGGACAGUCUCUCCUACCCAAGCCAAAAGUAUCUCAUCGCCUUCUGGAGAGGCACUGUGAGGGGUACACCUCAGUGCCUUCCACGCAGACAAGAGCAGCUCCAGCGUGCACCAAGCAAACCACCAUCUCCGCCUUCUUCAGUACCCAGACAGAUGAAAAAGACAAAGAAAACUCCAGGUUAUCUCCGCUUAUCCUAAAUAAAGAACAUAAAGAAAAAGGUAUUCCUUUGGCUGCCUCCCCUGUGAAGAUCUUGACGUUUCCGCAGAUAGAGGAAGCGCAGAAACCACCCUUCAGAGCUGAAGAUAAGAAGGUACAGAUUAUACCCCAGCAUCUUGUACAAAAAGCACCAGUCUCGCAGACCUCUUUGCCAGACUCUUUGCCAGACUCUUUGCUAGAAGCAGAGUCCCGCAGUAAGGGUGAGGCCUCCUGUGGGGGAGAAGAGGAUUUCUCCUUAGACUUUACCCAGGAUUCAGAGGGCAACCAGAUCCUAUCUUUGCCAGACUCUUUGCUAGAAGCAGAGUCCCGCAGUAAGGGUGAGGCCUCCUGUGGGGGAGAAGAGGAUUUCUCCUUAGACUUUACCCAGGAUUCAGAGGGCAACCAGAUCCUAGCUCACAGAAAUGUAGCUGACUUAUUUGCUGGAGAAACAGUCUCUGGAAGCAACAUAACUUCAAGAAAGAGAACAGACUCCUGGAUAAACAAAGAGGAGGGCCAGCUGGACCCAGAGGAGGAGAAGGAUGGACUUGAUAUCCAACCAAGRCAUGGUGCAAACCAGAGUAAGAAACCACACCGACUAUCUAGUAGCAAUAAUUCUUUAAUUGAUUUCUCCGAGCCUGAGAAUAUAAAUCCUGCUAUAAAGAGAGACAAUAUCGGGGCUGCUGGCUUUUGUUCAUCUCCUAAAAGAAYACCUAAAGCACAGCCUUUGAGAGAGCGCAGCCAAAACGCUGGUGGUGGUUCAGCUAAGGAAGAAUGGGACAGUAAGAACAGACUGAGCAGUCCCUUGAGGCAAUUGUUUACCCAGGAUUCAGAGGGGAACAGAGUAAUUUCUCACUACUGCCAGAAAGUGAGAUCUCCUCUAAAGGCGAAAAACAGCACUAGCAGUUGGCUGACUAACUCCCCAUACAAGGAUUGUUCCAGGGAUGCUACAAAUAGGAAUGUAAGCAAACUAGGGGAGCAUCAGUUAGAUGCAUGCUACGAUUUACUAUUCACCCAGGAUUCAGAAGGRAAUAGAGUUAUUAAACACUGA